CGUUUAUUUUCCUUUGUGUCUUCACUCGCGGAUGCAGAAUAUGCGUCGAGCCGAAGAGGAAUCCGAUUAUUAACAUAUUUUAUUUCUCUCUGUGUCGCAGGAUGAAAUAAUUGGCAGCCGGAUGAGCCGGACGGGAACAAAGGAUUAAUCUAGUUCGGUUUACCGCGAGUAACAACCCGUGUUGCAUUGGCGAAGGCAUGGAGUAAACUCAUAACAUUCUGCGAUUACGGUGCUCGAGUGUCUCAAUGAGGAGAUCGCGGCAACCCUUGUGGCCGACCAAUGUUUGACCGCGGAGGAAAAUGGGCCCGAGGAAUCCUCCCGGCAAGACUUCGUCCUCCAGACGUCCAUGGCGCUCAUGAAACGGCUCCUUGUCGACGCUCAAAAUAAAUUCCGAAAAAUGGUGGACGAGAACCGUCAACUGGGCUCGCGGAUCGACGGCGAGAUCCACCAGGCGAACGAGGAGAUGUCGGCCAUCCGCGACGAGCUCUCGCACACCCGCAAGAAGCUCGACGAGCACCUGCACCUCACCAACGGCUCCGCCAACCCCACCCCCGCGCAGCCACCCCCGAACCACCCCAAUCCCAACCCGGCGCCCCCGGUGCCGGCCCGCAACCGCCCUCCGCCCGCCCGCACCGAUUCCACGCCGGAUCAAGGUGAGAAUUUUAUACUGUCGUCCACCAGGGUGUCUACAAGUCCGAAAUUUCCGGAAAGUCCGGAAAUAGUACUGAUUUUUUAAGAGCGGUCUGGAAGUACUGAAAAAGUGCGGGAAUUCCGCAAGGAGGUCCGGAAUUUUUGUCGCAAUUUGAGCGAGAAAGGACCUUAUUCAAAAUCGGCCAUUUCCAACCUCGGCCAAAUCUUUGUAAUAUUUUCAGGGUUGAUAGAGGAUCACUUCCCAAGUCCAAAACACUGACGAUUUUUGAAUUUUGAUAAUUAGGGCGGGAGGGGGAGGGGGUUAAAGUUUAAACUUUAAACGGGCAUAUCUCGUGAACGGUUUGUCGUAGAGAGAUGAUCUUGGUCUCAAAAUUUAGAGAAAAUUAUCAGAUUUCAGCUGGUAUUCACGAAAUUGGUCCAUUUUGAAAUUUUCAUCCAUUGUUGCCACGUUGCCGUAGCUCAAAAUUUCAAUUUUUUAUAUUUUGAGCCGCAGCGUUGAAGGGAACGCACGAAAAAUUACAAAACUAUUAUUUUAUGAAAGUAGACCGUCUAAGCUUUAAAACAAGCUCAAGAUCAUCCCGGGGAAACGAUUUGGACCGGAGUUAUGAUUUUUCAAAGUUGACUUGUCGCGCGCGAACCUUGUAUAUUCGGCGCCCGGAUAUUACCGGCACCUCUGCAAUGACAAUUGGCUGCGACUUUUCGCAUAUUUACGCACUGCCGUAUCCUUAACAGUUAAAAUAACCCACAAAUAAAAAAACU
rnacentral:lncRNA from 1 species